rnacentral:rRNA from 1 species
GACGAACGCUGGCGGCGUGCCUAAUACAUGCAAGUCGAGCGAGCUUGCCUAGAUGAAUUUGGUGCUUGCACCAGAUGAAACUAGAUACAAGCGAGCGGCGGACGGGUGAGUAACACGUGGGUAACCUGCCCAAGAGACUGGGAUAACACCUGGAGACAGAUGCUAAUACCGGAUAACAACACUAGACGCAUGUCUAGAGUUUAAAAGAUGGUUCUGCUAUCACUCUUGGAUGGACCUGCGGUGCAUUAGCUAGUUGGUAAGGUAACGGCUUACCAAGGCAAUGAUGCAUAGCCGAGUUGAGAGACUGAUCGGCCACAUUGGGACUGAGACACGGCCCAAACUCCUACGGGAGGCAGCAGUAGGGAAUCUUCCACAAUGGACGCAAGUCUGAUGGAGCAACGCCGCGUGAGUGAAGAAGGGUUUCGGCUCGUAAAGCUCUGUUGGUAGUGAAGAAAGAUAGAGGUAGUAACUGGCCUUUAUUUGACGGUAAUUACUUAGAAAGUCACGGCUAACUACGUGCCAGCAGCCGCGGUAAUACGUAGGUGGCAAGCGUUGUCCGGAUUUAUUGGGCGUAAAGCGAGUGCAGGCGGUUCAAUAAGUCUGAUGUGAAAGCCUUCGGCUCAACCGGAGAAUUGCAUCAGAAACUGUUGAACUUGAGUGCAGAAGAGGAGAGUGGAACUCCAUGUGUAGCGGUGGAAUGCGUAGAUAUAUGGAAGAACACCAGUGGCGAAGGCGGCUCUCUGGUCUGCAACUGACGCUGAGGCUCGAAAGCAUGGGUAGCGAACAGG